rnacentral:rRNA from 1 species
AUGACAAAAGAUCUUCGAGUCGUGAGCGUAAUUUCCACAAUUGUGGAAGACCCAGACACUAUUCCAAUGAGUGUACGACCCCCUAUAAAAGAAGAGAAAAUUAACCCAAAAGGAGAAGUAAAAGAGAAGAAUCACCACCAAGAGAAAGGAGGAGUAGAGAUGAUCCUUAUAAAUGAUGAACCUCUCGAAGAAGCAUGGAUUCGGAAAGGAAGAGCAAAUCAUCAAGGAGCGACACAAAGCGAAGACAUCAAGCUCAUGUUGGUGAACGGGUAUCCGGCUCCGACUCCGACCAUCACUCCGAAAGAAGUUAUCACUCCGACUCCAAAUAUACUCAAGAUGAAGGUGUUGCCGGUCUAG